rnacentral:rRNA from 1 species
UACGGAGGGUGCAAGCGUUAUCCGGAUUCACUGGGUUUAAAGGGUGCGUAGGUGGGUCUGUAAGUCAGUGGUGAAAUCUCCGGGCUUAACUCGGAAACUGCCAUUGAUACUAUAGGUCUUGAAUUUUCUGGAGGUUAGCGGAAUAUGUCAUGUAGCGGUGAAAUGCUUAGAUAUGACAUAGAACACCGAUUGCGAAGGCAGCUGACUACAGGAACAUUGACACUGAGGCACGAAAGCGUGGGGAUCAAACAGG